GCUCUCCACUCCAGAUGAUGGAGCUAGAGAUGAUGGAGUUGGAGAUGACGGUCUGCUGCUCAUGCUGGAGUGCUCCCAGAUGAUGGAGCUGGAGAUGACGAUCUGCUGCUUAUGCUGAAGUGUUGGAGGAGUCUCAGUGCAUUUGUGCUCCCCAAUUUCCUUGGCCCUUGCUACUCCACAUGCUCUUAUCUCUCUAGCUCUGCUUCCCAGAUUUAAUGGAUUUAGAUAAGGGACUAUCGUUAAAUAUUAUUUGAGAUUGUCCUAGAAAGUUUGAGUACUAAAAGCUUGGAUUCUGUUAUGAUUCUGAGAGAUGGCAAACCCUUUAAGAGGGAGGCCUGGUGUGAGGUGAUUUCAUCAUUGGGGAUGCUGUCCUCUCAUGACCUCAGUUAUCUCUCCCAAGAGCAAACUGGUGUGAAUUCCUCUGGCUUCUCACAGAUGCUCCUAUUGUCACUUGCCACAUGGGAUGUGGACCAAAGAACCUCCCCAGAGCCAAGCACCAGACCUGUGCAUUUGUAGAACAGUGAGUUAAUUUUGAACAGCUAUAUGGUGAACUGAAUGAGUCUCCAAGCCAUGAUCUCACUACUAAAGGCACAUGCUUAACUGUAGGCACUGGCACAGGGAGAGGAAUUCAUUUGUUCCUGAAUCAUAGAAGGGUGAGGUCAAGUGAAGGAACAAGAAAGAUGACGUCUCAGGUGGAGGACACCUACCUACCACUCAGCACUGUCAGCCGAGUUCACGACCUUCACAGCUUCAGUGCAGGCAGAUAACUAACUCUUCCUGGUCUCUGAAGUGAAAACUUUAAGGUUCUUUGGAAAGUCAGCUGUGUUGGAUGGACAAAUGCAUGAAGGAGUAUUUUCCUGAAGUCCACACAAGUGAAAGACUAAGGCAGACUUGUGAAGGAA
rnacentral:lncRNA from 1 species